GCUCAGGUGAGUCACUUACAGUAGUCGUGAUGUGAGUGGGAAGUCACAUGAUGCCCGUACAGCAGCACCUCUCACACUCUCUCUCUCUCUCUCUUGCUCUCUCUCUCGUCCCAUGCUUUUAAUGACCUGACCACAUGACACGCCAUUUUUUUUGUCAAUUUAAUUUAAUAGAAAAAAAUAAAAUAUCCCUACUGCAAUGACAUAUUUUCUUCUUUGCUUUUUUGAGGAAAAUUAUGUUUUCUCACUAUCAUAAAUAUAAUAUAUGAAAUAAAACAUAAUUAAGUGCAUAUUGAUUAAUAACAUCUGGAGGCAGGUGAUGAUAUUUUAGAUUCCACAUAGCAAGUGUCAGAGGUAUAAAGAAAACCUUUUUUUUCAAGUUAUGGAGCCUCGAUCCAUGAGCUAACAUAAACACAAACACCUCUCUUGUGCUUCUGGAAAGUACACACUAACAAACAUUGACAAGAACAAACAUACUAGUAAAGCUUGCGCGACGCCUACUUCACACAAGACCUGUGUCACAUGAUGCCAGGUAGUUGACGUGAUGUUCAACAUGGACACGCGUGUGUCGUGUUGAUCAUCCUUAAUCCAGAUGGAAAAUACAUGAAUAGUAAUGAUCUAUACUGUAUGUCCUGGCUGUAUUACUUUAAUUCUAGACAUCUUUAGACAAGUAAUGUAAGAAAAUGCUAACAUGGUGAUGAAGGUAUAGCUGUGUACCUGAAGUCAUAUGACAUCGCAGAGCAACUCACAGUGUUUCUCUCCUAGUCCCGACUGGUGUCUCGGCUCCUUCUUCAGCUCCCACUGGAAUAAAUAAAAAGACUCGCUGGGCAAAGGUUGCAGGACGUGCCAUAAAGUCACCCUUCUUGCACUCUGCCCUCAAGACAAAGACGUUAAUGAGUAACUUGAAUAGGUUUGUCAUUUUCUUCCUUUGUUACUUACUGAAGGUUGAAAAUAACCACGUGUUUUGUUUUGUUUUCAUUCAGAAUUAAAGAGAUGUCAAUAAUCGGAGUCAGAAGUAGACGUUAUCACAAAUUCAGUGCCUGAAAGCAAACAGGGCCCACCGCUAAACGGAUGAGAUGUUGCAUCUGUGCAAUGACACCAGAUAGUGGCGGCGUAAUCACAUGAGACUUAAA
rnacentral:lncRNA from 1 species